CCUACGGGCGGCAGCAGUGAGGAAUAUUGGUCAAUGGGCGCGAGCCUGAACCAGCCAAGUCGCGUGAGGGAUGACGGUCCUACGGAUUGUAAACCUCUUUUGCCGGGGAGCAAGCGUGCGUUCGUGAACGCGCGUCGAGAGUACCCGGAGAAACAGCAUCGGCUAACUCCGUGCCAGCAGCCGCGGUAAUACGGGGGUUGCGAGGGUUAUCCGGAUUUCUUGGGUUUAAAGGUUGCGUAGGCGGGGUGCCAAGUCAGCGGUAAAAGUGCGGGGCUCAACGCCGUCGGGCCGUUUAAACUGGCGUUCUUGAGUGGGCGAGAAGUAUGCGGAAUGCGUGGUGUAGCGGGGAAAUGCAUAGAUAUCACGCAGAACUCCGAUUGCGAAGGCAGCAUACCGGCGCCCUACUGACGCUGAGGCACGAAAGCGUGGGUAUCGAACAGGAUUAGAUACCCUGGUAGUC
rnacentral:rRNA from 1 species